UACCAGACUCCUACGGGAGGCAGCAGUGAGGAAUAUUGGUCAAUGGGCGAGAGCCUGAACCAGCCAAGUCGCGUGAAGGAUGACGGCCCUACGGGUUGUAAACUUCUUUUGUCAGGGAGCAAUUGGGUCCACGCGUGGGCUUAGCGAGAGUACCUGAAGAAAAAGCAUCGGCUAACUCCGUGCCAGCAGCCGCGGUAAUACGGAGGAUGCGAGCGUUAUCCGGAUUUAUUGGGUUUAAAGGGUGCGUAGGCGGGAUGCCAAGUCAGGGGUAAAAAUGCGGUGCUCAACGCCGUCGAGCCGUUGAAACUGGCGUUCUUGAGUGGGCGAGAAGUAUGCGGAAUGCGUGGUGUAGCGGUGAAAUGCAUAGAUAUCACGCAGAACUCCGAUUGCGAAGGCAGCAUACCGGCGCCCAACUGACGCUGAAGCACGAAAGCGUGGGUAUCGAACAGGAUUAGAUACCCUAGUA
rnacentral:rRNA from 1 species